UCGCGCCUCCCCCUGACCGCCGCCCGUGCGUGGCCGGUCCAAUCCACCACCACGCCGCACGCGGCUGCUCAGAGAGGCCGAGGCCGAGAUGCCGGCCUCACCGGCGUCACCGCCGCCUCCUCCCUCCCACCCCGCGCGCAACACCUCGCACUCGAUCCACCCAUCCCGAUGCCUCGGCCUCGGCGCGCCUUUACCCUCCUCAUUUUCGCCGUUCGUCCCCGCGGCAGACGAAGACGGCGCAUCUCGAGCGCGUUCCCUGGCGGGUGUGCCGGCGGGGACGCAGAUGGUGCUUCUGAGGAAGAGGAACGGGGCGGAGGACGCGCCGCUGAUGCUGCCAGUCCUGGAUGGGGAUCUCCGAGCCAGUCUUGCUCCAGUUCUGCUUCGACAGUACUUCACCUUGACUUGCUGAUUGUUAUGGGGAGGUUCUAUGUGGAAGUGGCUUACUUGCAUCUUCUGUAGGAUACUGUCCAAGAUCAAAGGAAAUUUCAGUUAUAUAGAGAGCAAGGAGACCCCUGCAAACUUAUACUGCUUUGGGUGGUGUGCACUUGGGAUACUGUUAAACCCAGUAGGGAUUGGGGAGGGCCUUCAAAGUUUGUGUGAAGGAGGCACACCACCAAGGUUUCUGAUCUGAUGGUUGGCAGGAAAUAGUUCAUGAUUUCAAGUAAGUGGAUGAAGCUCUCCUUGAAGUGAUCGUGUCUGCAGAGUGGCCGUUGAUCUGAAGGAUUGACUUGUUGACACCACCAAUGUGUACUACGCAGGUUGAUCUGAAGGUUUGACUUAUUGUUAGGUAGAAGUUCAAAGUUUUGAUACUUGCACCUGCAUUAGCUUGAAUCCUUCAGAAUUAGUGUCUUUAUAGAGAUACAAGCUGCACAAGCCUUUCCAUGGUCCACAGUAAUUUCUCCCUGAACCCAAGCAAGCCUCUAAAUUAGAAUAGAAAGUUGCAUAAGCAACAAACUUCUAAAUUCCUCUAUCUUGUAUCACAAAUAGUGGGUACAUGUACAAUACCGUUGGACCUCAUUUUUUUAUAGAAAAACCACUCGUGACCCUGCUUUAUUUGAUUGAUUUGUAAGAGUUCAGACUAGAAGACUUAUAGAGAGGUAUACUGGGAUUACCAAUUUUAGUUAUGAAACAUAUCAAAGUAGAAACCAGGAAUACACAACUCCAUGGUCCACUCACUCAAAACCACAGAAAAGGAUUUGCCUUACACCACAUCAGCCAUUUUCCUUUAGCCUGCUACCUAUCCCUUCCACAAUCAUUGCUAGUGAGACUUUUGUUUUUGUUCAAAAUUAAAAAAUCAACUCAGAAUUUUG